rnacentral:rRNA from 1 species
AAGCGGAGGAAAAGAAAAUAACAAUGAUUCCCUUAGUAACUGCGAGUGAAGAGGGACAAGCUCAAAUUUUAAAUCUGUUAGGUUUACCUAAUCSAGUUGUAAUUUGUARAAGCGUUUUCUGNNUAAUUUGACCAGUCCAAGUCCUAUUGAAUGAGGCAUCAUGGAGGGUGAUAAUCCCGUUCGAUUGAUCAUUGCGUUUUACGAUACGCUUUCMAAGARUCAAGUUGUUUGGGAAUGCAGCUCAAAAUGGGAGGUAAAUUUYUCCUAAGGCUAAAUAACGGCSARAGACCGAUAGUGAACAAGUACCNUGAGGGAAAGAUGAAAAGAACUUUGAAAAGARAGUUAAAUAGUACGUGAAAUUGUUGAAAGGGAAACGAUUGAAGUCMGUCSUACCGGCGGAUAAUCAACCUUUYSGCGUGAUUAUGUGGAGCGUGAGGAGUUAAUCACUUUCMUGCCUGCAUAUUCGUGUAUUUUGGGUGUACUUAUCYGUAUGGUAGGUUAACAUCAAUUUUGGUCGUUAUAAAAUGACUGGGGAAAUGUGGCUUUGAUUUCGUAUUGAAGUGUUAUAGUCUCUGGUAGAUAUAGUGACCGGGAUUGAGGAUUGCAACGGAUACCCUUUCGGGGCUACUCGUCUGAUCUCUGAUCGUUACUCUGGUGCUGAAAGCUUGCUUACGGUUAUCAAAGUUGAUGGUUAAUAAGUUAGAACGGGUUAAAUUCGUUAAGGAUGUUGACGUAAUGGCUUUAAACGACCCGUCUUG